GGGUAGUUUGACUGGGGCGGUCUCCUCCCAAAGAGUAACGGAGGAGCACGAAGGUGGGCUAAUCACGGUUGGACAUCGUGAGGUUAGUGCAAUGGCAUAAGCCCGCUUAACUGCGAGAAUGACGGUUCGAGCAGGUGCGAAAGCAGGUCAUAGUGAUCCGGUGGUUCUGUAUGGAAGGGCCAUCGCUCAACGGAUAAAAGGUACUCCGGGGAUAACAGGCUGAUACCGCCCAAGAGUUCAUAUCGACGGCGGUGUUUGGCACCUCGAUGUCGGCUCAUCACAUCCUGGGGCUGAAGUCGGUCCCAAGGGUAUGGCUGUUCGCCAUUUAAAGUGGUACGCGAGCUGGGUUUAGAACGUCGUGAGACAGUUCGGUCCCUAUCUGCCGUGGGCGUUGGAAGAUUGAAGGGGGCUGCUCCUAGUACGAGAGGACCGGAGUGGACGAACCUCUGGUGUUCGGGUUGUGUCGCCAGACGCAUUGCCCGGUAGCUAAGUUCGGAAUUGAUAAGCGCUGAAAGCAUCUAAGCGCGAAGCGAGCCCUGAGAUGAGUCUUCCCUGAUACUUUAAGUAUCCUAAAGGGUUGUUCGAGACUAGAACGUUGAUAGGCAGGGUGUGUAAGCGUUGUGAGGCGUUGAGCUAACCUGUACUAAUUGCCCGUGAGG
rnacentral:rRNA from 1 species